rnacentral:rRNA from 1 species
ACGGAGGAUGCAAGCGUUAUCCGGAUUCACUGGGUUUAAAGGGUGCGCAGGCGGCUUAAUAAGUCAGUGGUGAAAUCCUACGGCUCAACUGUAGAACUGCCAUUGAUACUGUUAGUCUUGAGUAUUGUUGAGGUAGGCGGAAUGCCGCGUGUAGCGGUGAAAUGCUUAGAUAUGACGCAGAACACCAAUCGCGAAGGCAGCUUACCAAGCAACAACUGACGCUCAUGCGCGAAAGCGUGGGGAUCAAACAG